UACGGGGGGGGCAAGCGUUGUUCGGAAUUACUGGGCGUAAAGGGCUCGUAGGUGGCCAACUAAGUCAGACGUGAAAUCCCUCAGCUUAACUGGGGAACUGCCUUCGAUACUGCGGGUCUCGAGUCCGGGAGAGGUGAGUGGAAUUCCUGGUGUAGCGGUGGAAUGCGCAGAUAUCAGGAGGAACACCAAUAGCGAAGGCAGCUCGCUGGGACGCUACUGACACUGAGGCGCGAAAGCGUGGGGAGCGAACAGG
rnacentral:rRNA from 1 species